CCUACGGGUGGCAGCAGUGGGGAAUAUUGGACAAUGGGCGAAAGCCUGAUCCAGCCAUGCCGCGUGUGUGAAGAAGGCCUUCGGGUUGUAAAGCACUUUCAGUGGGGAAGAAAGCCUUGGGGCUAAUACCCUCGAGGAAGGACAUCACCCACAGAAGAAGCACCGGCUAACUCCGUGCCAGCAGCCGCGGUAAUACGGAGGGUGCGAGCGUUAAUCGGAAUUACUGGGCGUAAAGCGCGCGUAGGCGGUCUGAUAAGCCGGUUGUGAAAGCCCCGGGCUCAACCUGGGAACGGCAUCCGGAACUGUCAGGCUAGAGUGCAGGAGAGGAAGGUAGAAUUCCCUGUGUAGCGGUGAAAUGCGUAGAGAUCGGGAGGAAUACCAGUGGCGAAGGCGGCCUUCUGGACUGACACUGACGCUGAGGUGCGAAAGCGUGGGUAGCAAACAGGAUUAGAUACCCCUGUAGUC
rnacentral:rRNA from 1 species